rnacentral:rRNA from 1 species
UACGGGGGGGGCAAGCGUUGUUCGGAACUACUGGGCGUAAAGGGCUCGUAGGCGGCCAACUAAGUCAGACGUGAAAUCCCUCGGCUUAACCGGGGAACUGCGUCUGAUACUGGAUGGCUUGAGUUUGGGAGAGGGAUGCGGAAUUCCAGGUGUAGCGGUGAAAUGCGUAGAUAUCUGGAGGAACACCGGUGGCGAAGGCGGCAUCCUGGACCAACACUGACGCUGAGUGAGCGAAAGCCAGGGGAGCAAACGGG